AUUGAACGCUGGCGGCAGGCUUAACCAAUGCAAGUCGAGCGAGCGGCGGACGGGUGAGUAAUGUCUGGGAAACUGCCUGAUGGAGGGGGAUAACUACUGGAAACGGUAGCUAAUAACGCCUACCAUCAGCUGUGCCCAGAUGGGAUUAGCUAGUAGGUGGGGUAAUGGCUCACCUAGGCGACGAUCCCUAGCUGGUCUGAGAGGAUGCCCAGCCACACUGGAACGGAGACACGGUCCAGACGCCUACGGGAGGCAGCAGUGGGGAAUAUGGCACAAUGGGCGCAAGCCUGAUGCAGCCAUGCCGCGUGUUUGAAGAAGGCCUUCGGGUUGUAAAGCACUUUCAGCGAGGAGGCGUUACUCGCAGAAGAAGCACCGGCUAACUCCGUGCCAGCAGCCGCGGUAAUUC
rnacentral:rRNA from 1 species